rnacentral:rRNA from 1 species
AAUGAACGCUGGCGGCGCGCCUAAUACAUGCAAGUCGAGCGAGAAGACGUAGCAAUACGUUUGUAAAGCGGCGAACGGGUGAGGAAUACAUGGGUAACCUACCCUCGAGUGGGGAAUAACUAGCCGAAAGGUUAGCUAAUACCGCGUACGCUCCUUGGACUUCGGUUCAGGGAGGAAAGCGAUACCGUGGGUAUCGCGCUCUUGGUUGGGCUCAUGUCCUAUCAGCUUGUUGGUGAGGUAACGGCUCACCAAGGCUUCGACGGGUAGCUGGUCUGAGAGGACGAUCAGCCACACUGGCACUGCGACACGGGCCAGACUCCUACGGGAGGCAGCAGGUAAGGAAUAUUGCG